UGACUUCAGGCACUACUUACAUGGAUCUGCACUGCAUCAGCCACUCAUGUUUGAGCUGGCAUCCUGCAAGUGGAUUUGUAAGAGUUCUGUACUAUUAAUUUUCAUUAAGAGAAUUGUAAGAGUAAAAAAUAAGAUGAAGGCCACAGUGUUAAUGUGCUACCAUUGUCAUCAAAGCCAAUGUAUAGACCCAGCUGCGUAUGGCUGUUGGCCAAAGGAAAUAAUCAAUUCUGGAAAAACUACAUUUUAUGUGAUGCAUUUCUUUCUCCACUGAUAAAUGACAACGGUGCAAGUAUCUUCAUCUUGGUGUGAAUUGACCCAGAUUGUAGAAGACCAAGUUUUUACAUUGUGACCAAUCAACUUCUAGAAAUAUAAAAACUGCUGAGAGUCUAGUUCUGAAACUUUUACAACAUUCAGCUGGUGGCAGACUAAUGUCCUUAAUUAUAUAUUUUAUAGAAAUGAAACUUGAGGAGAAGAUAAAAGC